rnacentral:tRNA from 1 species
ACAGUGGUGAUUCAGUGGUAGAAUUCUCACCUUCCAUGCAGGAGACCUGGGUUCCAUUCCUGGCCAAUGUA